rnacentral:rRNA from 1 species
UACGGAGGGGGCAAGCGUUGUUCGGAAUUACUGGGCGUAAAGGGCGCGCAGGCGGCUGCUCAAGUCAGGCGUGAAAGGCCUGGGCUCGAACCCGGGAAUUGCGCUUGAGACUGGGCUGGCUUGAGUGCGGGAGAGGAUGGUGGAAUUCCCAGUGUAGAGGUGAAAUUCGUAGAUAUUGGGAAGAACACCGGUGGCGAAGGCGGCAUCCUGGACCGACACUGACGCUGAGGAGCGAAAGCCAGGGAGCAAAGCGGG